rnacentral:rRNA from 1 species
AGCUCCAAUAGCGUAUAUUAAAGUUGUUGCAGUUAAAAGCUCGUAGUUGGAUUUCUGGUCGGGUGACCCGGCCCUCAUGCUGAGUGUGCAAGGCCGCCCGUCCAUCCUUCUGUCAACGCUUGAGGCCUUUACAGUCUCCUGCGGGCUCAGAUAUUUUACCUUGAGAAAAUUAGAGUGUUUCAGGCAGGCUAGCGCCGGAAUACAUUAGCAUGGAAUAAUGGAAUAGGACUUUUGCCUCUUCUGUUGGUCUGAGGGGUUCGAGUAAUGA